UAGAAAGCCAUUAACACAGUGCGUAGCACACAAUGAAAGCCCAAGAAAUGUGAUUAAUAGUAAAAAAAAAAAUAAAAAAAAAUUAAUGCAUCUAAUAAUACCAAAUGUUAGUCAGAGUGUGGGGAAACAGGAUGAAACUCCCCCCCCCCCCAGGUGUGGCUAUAUACAUACAUAUCAACUACUACACUUUCCGUGAAAGUUGAUUUUUUAUCAACACACAAAUGGACCUAAGCUUCUUUUACUUUAAAGUACCUCAUCCAGCUGAAGCAAUGCUCCCAAAUAGCUUGAGAAUGGUGGUUGCAGUUAUUUUGGAAAUGUUAACUGGGUUGAUCACCCCACAUUCAGUAGCUCCUCUCUGGUGACGGUUCAACAGAGCGGCUGCAUACUCUCAGAGAUUAAUCUUCCCUUAGAAGGAACCUUUUCCUUCCCACUGAAAUCGUCCUAAACCGUCUGCUCGCACGAAUUUAAAGACUGGAUUACAGUUUGAGUUCCUUAGCCCAGAAAAUCGGGCUGACUCAUGGACUUUUCACGUGAUCUUUGGCAAGGAAAUUCCUACGUCGGUGUAAUUCCAGGAAGGCUCAACAGAUGGCACAAAGUCGUUUCUGUGGCACCGCUUUGCUUAAACCAGGGACCUGCCUUCGGUCAGGCGCUCGGUUUCCCUUGCGUUUUGGAAAGGACUUUCCUCUUCUCCUGGGAAAGGAACACCGCGGUGUUUUGGUGGACACUGGGAGAGGCUCUAGAAGAGGAGCAGUGAGGGACUUUUAAAAACUGUAUGUAUGUAUGUACUUAUUUAUUUAUUUUAGAGAGAGUGAGUGAGUAUGUGUGUGUGAACGGUGGGGGUUGGGGGGAGGAUCAGAGCGAGUGGGAAUAGGAGGGGGAAAGAAUCUCAAGCAGACUCCAUGCUGAGUGCCGAGCCCAGGCAGGGCUUGAUCUCAUGACCCUGAGAUCAUGACCUGAGUAUGAGUCGAAACCAAGAGUUGGAUGCUCAACUGACUAAACCACUCGGGUGUCCCUAGGGACUUUUAACCAACCAUAUGCCAUUUUGUAAUGAAAUUCUCCAGCCCAGAAGAGUUUUUCUCUCCCAAAGAAUGAUUAAUGGAAACCCUACUUAUCUCUUAACUGUUUUACUAUUUCCAAUAUAUCUUCAGGUAUGAACUGUGGAUCUUUUUGUUAAUAAAACUGAACAAGUAGUCAACAUCUGCUUUCAGUUGUUCCUGCUAUGCAAGAAACAAUAUUAAUAUUGACAAUAUUAAGAAAUGCUGUCUGCUCUUGUCUCCUGAGAACUUCUAGAUGUUUAGCUGUGCAGAUCAGCUCUUGAAUAGGGUAGAGUGAAAUCACAUCCAAUCCUUUGUUCUAGUCUCAAGUAUGGAAUGUGUGGGUUCAUGUACCUGCCUCCACCCUUCAGAUAAGUAAUCUUUUCUCAAUCACUUGACAACAGUGUCAUGAACAUCAGUGCCUAGAAUUUGUUGUAGUACAGUGAGACUUUAUAGGUUCUGGGGAAACUGUUAUCCCAUACAUAUAGCAGUUUUAGACUGACAUGUACUUUUUAAUAUUUCACUCUCUUUUCCUGUUUUAUCAGCAUAUCAACUGUAGGGACUUGAUGUUUUCAGAUUAUCAAAUGCCAAUUCCCGUCUCUCUCAAUUUGUGGCUUUUGGUCUAGUGUGAAUUAGAAAAGCAUAUAUCCAUUUUUAUGGGAAUUGUGUCAAAUAAUGAGAUCCUGUGACUAAAGAAAUUUCCCAUGACCACAAAGGGUGGAGUAUAUGCAUCAUCUCAUCUGCCUCUUCCCAAUUUGUAAGAGUACCUCUAACAUCUACCUGUAGGUGGUUCCAGGCAGGUGUGAUUGUGGGCACUCUGGUGCAGGAUUCUGCCCUCUGGCCACCACAGCUGCAACUGCUGCUUUUAGGAGGGUACAGUGGGAAUUAGGCAGCUGUGGAACCCUCCCUGUCCUGCUAGCUCUUGCUCCCUGCAGGGGCUCAUAAAUGCUUUUCCACACAGAUCAAAGCUGGAAUGGUAUAGACCCAUGAGUUAGGGUUAGGUCUUUGUCUCUGGGACUAGAUUCUUGCUUGAUCUUUUGCACAAUUAUAGUUUCGCUGCUUUGUCUCAGUCACAAACCUGGUGUCUGUGGGCUAAUGUGCCUGCUUCUACCCCUCAGCCAGUCAUAAAUGUCCAGUUUGGUGUACCUUAAUCUAACUUCUCAUAUGGCUCCAUGAACAGUGGGUUCAUUGCUACAACUGAUUUUGCUAAGGUCCAGUUCAUGGAGGUGGAGGAAGGAGGGGAUUCUUCCUUGUUUGUGUCCAAACUUGGCUUUAUUCCAAUUGCUACCAUCACAAAAGGAUUUGUCCUUCAGAUACCACAGAGAUUCAGACACCAAGCCACAGGUAGAUAGACCUUCCAACCUGUCAGCCACCCUCCUCCCCAUUCCUUUUUAAAAAAGAUUUAUUUGUUUUUAUUUGAGAAAGAGAGCAUGUGAGCAUGAGCAGGAGGAGGGGCAGAGGAAGAGGGAGAGAGAAUCCUCAAGCAAACUCCCUGCUGAGCAUGGAGUCCAAUGUGGGCCUCGAUCCCAGGAUCCUGAGAUCAUGACCUGAGCCAAAAUGAAGAGCUGGACGCUCAACCAACUGAGCCACCUAGGUGCCCCCCCAUGAGAUAAAUGGUUAUCUCAUGUUGCCUUGGCCAUGCCUUGGUUAAGGAUCUGAAAAUCUGGCUAACUGCAUGCAUGGCUUCACAAUGACCACCAGCAGCUUAUCUCACACUCAUCUAAUCAUUCAGAAGCCCUAAUAAGCCACAUUUGGUCCACUUUCUUAGAAAGAUGUGGGAGAGGAAAUACAGCAUCAUCCUCUUACUUUGUUUUAUAGUUCAUACACAGUCCUUUUAACAUGGACGCUACUUACCAUUUAAGAGUCAUUUAUACCAAAAAGUAAUGUUUUCUGGUAACACAGGGGACAUUCUACAUGUGUCAGGUUUUCAGAAAAGAGCUAGAAAAUAACUCAUUGGUAAGAUUAGUCACUGGAGAAAGAGUUAAUUGGGUUGUUAACACUUUAUCCAUGAGAAGUCACUGGCUGCAGCAGAUGGCUGAGUUUAGUGCCAAACUGAAUACUGGUGUCCUCUCUUGAGAAUGUCUUACAGUUUCUGGAAAGAGCCUCUUGGUUGCCCUUUUGUACAAUUUUAGAUUAUCAAACUGAGUGAUACCACAUUUUGGAGGGAUAAAGGACUGCCUUUUAAAAGAGACUGAAGUGGGUGUCUGGGUGUCUCAGUUGGUUAGGCAACUGCCUUUGGCUCAGGUCAUGAUCCCAGGNNNNNNNNNNNNNNNNNNNNNN
rnacentral:lncRNA from 1 species